rnacentral:rRNA from 1 species
GACGGGGGGGCAAGUGUUCUUCGGAAUGACUGGGUGUAAAGGGCACGUAGGCGGUGAAUCGGGUUGAAAGUGAAAGUCGCCAAAAAGUGGCGGAAUGCUCUCGAAACCAAUUCACUUGAGUGAGACAGAGGAGAGUGGAAUUUCGUGUGUAGGGGUGAAAUCCGUAGAUCUACGAAGGAACGCCAAAAGCGAAGGCAGCUCUUUGGGUCCCUACCGACGCUGGGGUGCGAAAGCAUGGGGAGCGAACAGG